UGGGCAUCUCAACCAAGGUUCUCUUUCCACUUUAUGUUGCGGCCAAGAAUGCAUUUGUGGAAGCAUAUAAAAAUUAUAAAUUGCUCCAAAGAGAUGAUAAACAUGCUUCAAUGUGUUGCUCAUCCUCUUCACUUAAUCUCGAAAGUGAAUUGAUGAAGCACAGUAGGGCACUAUUGAUUCUAAGUUGUGAUUUUGGAACAGCAUGGAAUUCCAGGAAGCUUGUUCUGUCAAAGAAGCAAUCUCUUUCCAUGUUCAUGAAUGAGCUUAUCUUUUCAUCUGUGAUUCUCUCUCAUUCACCUAAAAGUGAACAAGCAUGGAGCCAAAGAGAUCAAAGAUGAAUUAUCGUG
rnacentral:misc_RNA from 1 species